rnacentral:rRNA from 1 species
CCUUCCUUUUGGUGGGUGUGGAUGAGUAGGCGAACGGGUGAGUAACACGUGAGUAACCUGCCCCCUUCUUCUGGAUAACCGCAUGAAAGUGUGGCUAAUACGGGAUAUUCUGCGCCUGCUGCAUGGUGGGUGUGGGAAAGAUAUUGUUUCGGUGGGGGAUGGGCUCGCGGCCUAUCAGCUUGUUGGUGGGGUGAUGGCCUACCAAGGCGGUGACGGGUAGCCGGCCUGAGAGGGUGGACGGUCACACUGGGACUGAGACACGGCCCAGACUCCUACGGGAGGCAGCAGUGGGGAAUAUUGCACAAUGGGCGCAAGCCUGAUGCAGCGACGCCGCGUGAGGGAUGGAGGCCUUCGGGUUGUAAACCUCUUUCGCCAGUGAAGCAGGCCCGCCUCUUUUGUGGGUGGUUUGACGGUAUCUGGAUAAAAAGCGCCNGNUAACUACGUGCC